rnacentral:rRNA from 1 species
CAGUCUCAGUUCGGAUUGAAGGCUGAAAUUCGCCUUCCAUGAAGCCGGAAUUGCUAGUAAUGGCAGGUCAGCAUACUGCCGUGAAUACGUUCCCGGGCCUUGUACACACCGCCCGUCACACCAUGAGAGUUGGGAAUACCCGAAGCCUGUGAGCUAACUAAUAGAGGCAGCAGUCGAAGGUAGAAUCAAUGAUUGGGGUGAAGUCGUAACAAGGUAAC